rnacentral:rRNA from 1 species
GUGGGGAAUAUUGCACAAUGGGGGAAACCCUGAUGCAGCGACGCCGCGUGAGUGAAGAAGUAUUUCGGUAUGUAAAGCUCUAUCAGCAGGGAAGAAAAUGACGGUACCUGACUAAGAAGCCCCGGCUAACUACGUGCCAGCAGCCGCGGUAAUACGUAGGGGGCAAGCGUUAUCCGGAAUUACUGGGUGUAAAGGGAGCGUAGGUGGCAUGGCAAGUCAGAAGUGAAAGCCCUUGGCUUAACUGGGGGACUGCUUUUGAAACUGUCAGGCUAGAGUGCAGGAGGGGUAAGUGGAAUUCCUAGUGUAGCGGUGAAAUGCGUAGAUAUUAGGAGGAACACCGGUGGCGAAGGCGGCUUACUGGACUGUAACUGACACUGAGGUACGAAAGUGUGGGGAGCAAACAGGAUUAGAAACCCUUGUAGUCC